UCCAAUUGAUUAUUUUCCCCCUGUAUAUACUUAUAAUGCUUUACCUAAAUGUUUCCCCACACAAAGAGGAUCUGAUUUUAUUUCUGACUUCCAACUUUCUAAUUUUUCUGUCCUGAAGGCUUUACUGCGGGUUACAAUCAUGUGAUGCUACUGACUGCAUGUCCAACAAACCCUUAACUGAAGAGAGACUGAAGAAUAUAGACACAGUAUUUUCCCCAGGGUGUCUGAAUUGACCUGGCCAAAUAUCUUUGAAAGUGAUACAGCAAUAUGCAGAAAUCUGAAUAUAUAACUGCCAGUAACAUUUCUCUGGGCAUUGCCAAGAAAGAAGACUUUAAAUGGAAAGAAAUUGUUCUGUAAGAUGUCAGAGACAGCUGUGUCACUGAAAGAAAGUACAUCUAAUAUGGUCCCAUCAUCACUGAUAAGUAAUAAGCAAAGUCUUAAGAAGUCUUGCUUCUCAUUAGAUGACUUCAGUCUUAAUGAAUGGAUGACAUCUGGUAGCUGCCAUGCCUAGGAUCUCAGUCAACAGAGCAUGCACUAAGGACUCCUCUAUAAGGCAUAUAUUUGUCUGUGUGCUCGGGCUCAAGUAGAGUGUCACAAAUCCUAAUCAUUGAAACCAUUGAAAAAGCUGAAGAAGCUGAACUUGCACCCAAAUAAUUGCUCUUGUCCAUAGUAAGCUGCAGAAUAGGUAUGUGUCCAUGCACCUCAAAGAGCUCUUUUAAAUUCUGAGAUUCAGGUACAGGCUAGAUGGAUAUAAAUCAAAAUGCAGGCAAUACAGAGACCUAUUCCAUUCAAAAGCUUACCUACAUUAAGAUUGUGCUUUUCUGUUUUAAUGUUUCUUGGGUUUGGGUAGCUUUUAUGGACUCCUGUGGUUUAGUGCUGGUAAGUCAAACGUGACUGUGAUGCAUAUCUAAACUUCUGGAUUCUCAUUCAUACUGAAACUCUAGAUGUCUUGUGGUUUUUGUGACACAGCAGAAUGAUGCAAAACACUUAAUUGCAUCUCACCUGUGAUUACUUAUCUGGAUUUGAACAACCCAUUUCAGAAAGAAUGGUGCUUUUUUUUUGACUCAUUGACUCUGGUCUGGUAAUUUCAGUAGUUUUAUAACUGUGCACUCUCUGGACUCAACCAUAGAAUUAAGAUUUCAAGUUUCCUUAGGAGUAAAUGAUUGCAAGAGACAAUUCCUCUUCUAAGCAACAAUUAGAGCAUUAGCUGAACAAAGAGCUUCAUCUGGCAAUUAGUAUUCCUGUGGUGAGCAGGGAGAGAAUUAGUCAGAGAUACAAGAGGCUCAGACUGCCAGAGCUGAAGCAAAAGGCUUGGUGUGCAAGCUUUCUGAUGCUCCAGUGCCUUUUCUCCUCCCAGUUUGAGAAUCUCUUGCAUUUUUUUUUCACAAAAGGUUAAUACUCUUGUGUCGAAAGAAUACAUUAUGGCUCAAACGUUCAUCUAUGCUUCAAAAGAUAGGCAACAGCUACUGGAAACAGCAGGGCUCUCUGCUGUGUUUUUAGUCCUGAGGCUGAUCAAUAAACUCUAGUGACACAAGGGAGGAAGGGGUAACACACUCACACGCUGCUCAGCCCCAGGAAUGCAGAAAGCAUGAAUAGAAAGCUAAAUGUUUCUUUAAGAAAUGAGACCCAAGCACAGAUGGCACUCUGUAUUCAUGGAAGGCUCCCACAUGGUGCAAAGAAUUAGAGCCUGCAGGGCCUCAUAAAAAUAGUGGAAUCACCUAUACGCAAAAUCUUCAGCCUGACUCGCUCUCAGCUACAUCGCUGUAAGAUAGUAGGAGUAAAGGUAUUAAAGUCAUUGGAUUAAUGCAGUGUAACGCCGUCCUUAGAGCUGAACUUCACACGCACUGUGUGAAGUCCUUAUCCAAAGGGCUUGUAGUGACUGCGUCAUGAAUAAACCAGGCAAGAAACCUAAAACUCCAUCUUUAACCAGAAUGAAACAGAUCAUGGAUAGUAUUUGGGGCCAAUACUCCUGUUGAGGUGGAAACAACCCAGAAAUCCAGCUUAAUGGAGCAUCUGGGGAUUUCACAGGGAUGGAAGUUAGGUCUUGUAUUAACCAUUUCUAAAGCACCAUUUUUAUAGCUCUUUAGCUCAGAAGCAGUGUGAAGUCAGGAGAAAGAAAAUAAGCCUGGUCUGUCUGUCUAGUAAUCAUCAGAUGCCUAAAGCGCCCUUAAAAGAGAAAUAAAAUAAUUUCAUGCUCAGCCUUCUAAGUUGCAAGUCAGAAGAAUUUCCAGAUAUUCCAGAAUUUCAGAUGUCCUGAAACAGAUUAAAACAUUGCUGCUGAAGAAAAUUGGCUAAUUCCAGGAAUCUACACCUUAAAUGGAAACAAGCAGAAUUUAUCUGCUGGACAUUUGUAGUGGAUAUAAAUAAUGCACGCCACUUAAAGACAAAUAUUUAUAUUAGUUUCAGCAAUUAAAUCUUUCCACAGUUUCUAUAUCAGUAAGUUCACUUGCGCUACUUAGAUCAGUGCUAAAACAGUUGCAAGAAAAUAAAAUGAUCUCUUAAUUUUGAUUCAAUACAAAGGCUUGCAGUUUAGUUGUCUUUGAUGUCCUCUAGUAGAUCACACAGCAAAUAACAUAGUUUCUUCAGAAUUUAGCUGCUGUGGGUGUGUUAAUUCUGAAUUCUCCCUAGUAAUGGGAAAAAAAAAGUUGUGUCAGUAUCAUGUUUGCUGAUUGCUUUAAAAUGAACUUGUAUUUGAAUUUCUGAUCCUGCAGAACUUCUAUUAAAAGGAAAGAAUGUUAAACUUAAAGCAAUCUGGGGAGACAAAACCUUUUCAUGUAACUGCUGCGCACCUGGAUCUGAGAAACUGCACUGGUGGCAGCGGAGUGGUGAGAAGAGAGAUGUGACUGUCUCUAGCCCACACAGGCCCUAGGGGCUGUAAAUGUUCCUGCCUGAGGAACCUUCUUUUUCCGAGUUUUCGCUAAGGAAAAGGCACAUGGAAGGAAACUAUUCACCCCACAUCCUUCAUGUCUUCCCAGUCUCAGUCUUCUUAACCAUGAGUGAAUUUUUGUGCUGUGGUUUUCUGCUAAAGGAAGCCCUCCACUCUGGAAUGCCCCUUGAGCUGUGGUCCAUCAGGCUGUAAGGGAGGGCUUUCGGGUCCAAGUCAUGACUUGGUGUAAAUCUACCAAGGCUGGACCUUGAAUUCCUGGUAGGAAGUGUUGCUAGUGAGGUACUAGCUGUGAGAAACACUUGGUUUUGAAACAGAACUGACUUUGGAGGGAAAGAAACAUAAUCAGAUGAGAGCCAGAACCCACCAUAAGUCUUGUCGGUAUGUUUUGAAUGUCUGGAGUUAAGAUAGAGACUGAGGAGGAAGAGAGGACUGUUACGAGAAUAGCAAUGGGAUUGUUGUGUUUUAUGAAUAACAGUGUGUGUUUUAACUACCAUGUCAAAUGGAGGCAGUGUUAUCUCUGUACAGCUCCAGAGCAUCCUCUCUGCAAGCUUUCUUUCUGCCUGUCCAUGUAUCAGCCCUUAGAAAACUGCCCUCCCAGACCAAGGAGAUCCCUCAUAGCCUAGCAGAGCAGCCUGCAGAGUCCCUCUGUGCCAUAUUAGUGGCAUCUGUUGCUGCUAGGAAGGACACUUAAGUAUAGUACAUUACAUACCAGACAGAUUUUUAACAGGUGCCACAGUUUCCUAGGUGGAUGCUAGGUUGUUCACUUGCUGGAAACACAUCCAAGAGCAACUUAAAGUGUAAGAGGUCAGGCUGGUCUCAGGCAUAUAGCCUAAAUACCUGGUCUAAGAUACUUGAGUGAGGGUAGAUUAAGCAUUGCUGAAUUUGGAGAUCAUAGAAACGAUGAUCUUACAAAUACACAUGCUUAUUACGCAUUAUAGAACCAGCACAUAAACUAAGUUGGAGUAAUUAAAUAAGAGAAAGGCAAAGGGGUGAAAGAAAACACCAUCUGCUAACUCUCGAUCAGUCACUUAUAAGCAAACCAGAAUAUAAUGAAGGCCAUUGCAUUCUGAUCAUGAACAGAUCCUUCUGCUUGGCUUAUGUUAUUUUUCCUCAAAAAUAGUGCAUAUGUUUUGUAACAGUUUGGUAAACACAUGAAAAAGAGAGGGAAAAGAAAGCUAAAAAUCUCUGCUGAACUGUAUGAAAUGCAGCAAUUUGGAUGCUUUGUACUUUUCUAGUAUUUAUUUAUUUACAGGCGCUCUCAAUAACAUUUACACUAUCAGUAAUUUGAUUUGCUAAGAGCUUGAUUAUGCAGCCAGCAGUUUCACAUUGUCAUCAUUGUAUUUGACAAAGUGAAUCCAGAUCAACACUAAUUCAUCACCUUACAUUCUCAGUUAUUUAUAGCCAUUAACUGAUACACUUAUUCUAUUAGCCGACUGCUAAAUGUAGGAUAUUUGUGGAAUCCUCUCUAGGGUCGAAAUAGUAAUUAUUUUUAAGUCUGUGCAUUUUCUAAAAUGAAUGAUGACGUUCUAGGCUAUUAAUAGAGAAAAGAGACAUAAAAUGGCAUACCCACCUGUUGUGCCAACUACCAGCAGCCAAUAAUGUAUGUUAACACAAGGCAAAUAUUCUUUAAUUCAUACUUACAAAAUGAAAUAAAUCAAUUAAUACUUUGAUUAGAUGCAAAUAAUCCAAUUAUUGCAAAAAGUAAAAUUCAUUGCAGCAUUGUCACAGCACUCAAAUUCUAGUCAUGAAGCACUUAAGCAAAUGAAUAAUUUUAUAUGGGAAGGAACAUGCCCCAGUACAUAGGACAAUGUAUGUAAGACAGUCUUGCACUUAAGUCUUCUUUCGGAAGAGAUUAUAUUGAGACAUGCAAUUACUGAUACAGUCUUUUAAGGACACUUUCAACCGCAUCUAUGGUAAGGAUUGAGUCCUAGUGAUGUUAGUUCAGCUUAAUUAUGAAAUCAAGGAAAAAUUUUGGGAAUCUCUGCAGAGGUUGUGAGGCUCGUUACUUUUAAUAGUAUUUAAAAUUCAGUGUCCCCAAAGAUUUCAUUUGAAUGAGAUUUUUUUAAAAAACAGCUCAUCACUAGACCAGUUAAAAUAAAAAUACCUUAUGCCAUUUUCUCUUUUGGAAGUUGAUUUUGCUAGUACAGUAAGCUAGUACUGUGCCUUUCUGGCACCAGAAUAUGGUAUCAUGAAGAGCAGCAAUGUAGGAUCAGAGUCAGAUUGUUUAUUGUUUCUUUGGCUUUGAAGUUAGCAGCAAUCAAGCCCUUGUGCUUUUGAAGUCCAUGGAAGUACCCCUUUGCAGGGAAGGCAGACUGCUUCACCUGUGGAAGGUGAAACUACAGCUGCUAAUGCAACAGAGCUGUACCAUGUGCAGGUGACAAAGUAUACCUAAAACACUUCUGGGGGAAAUGUCCAGUCUGCCCCCUAAAUACAUGUAUUUUCCUGCCCAGAACUUCUUGAGGAAAAGCAGUGUGUUCCUUAAAAACAGCACUGAGCAAAAUAAACAUGAGAGCACACCAAUUUUGUUUUAAAAUCAGGUUUGUGAUGCCAUUAUGCUAUAAAUUUUCUUUUCUUUGGUUACAGCAAUGAAGCCACAUGUUUUCACUGACAGAAGGAAACAGAGUGCAUUUAGACCAGGCAUUAAUUAGGACUUCAUUGUACUUGAAACACUUGAUUUAAUUUUAAGAAGGAUUUAUCUGAUAACUGUGAUGUUUUGCUGCUUGCAAGCGUUCUUCUUUUGGCCUAAUUUCAGUUAAUGACCUUUGACUGUAAAAAGCAAACUUAGGAGACACAGACACAAUCGUGCUUGAUGUGCUAUUAAUGUUGUCUAUAGAGUCAGCAUGUUUCCAUCUUUGCCAGCUCUUAGCAUGCUUUUAAAGGUAUGCUCCCAGAGAUUACAAAGUCAUUUCAGUGCAUUUAAAAUUGGUUUUAGGGCUGUUCAGGCUGAAGGAUUAAAGCACAGUGUUGGAGUUCAUGGUAUUUCAGCCCAGCAAAUCAGGAUAGCUCAAGCCCACACAUGAAUCAGAAGUAUAUAUGCCUCUCUGGGUGCUCGUGUAAAACGGGGACUCUGAAACAGAGAAAAGAAAAAGUACAUACAGGUUGCUUAAAGGAAUGGUUUUCUUUAGCAGCCAACUCUUGUUACUAAGGCAAAGCGAAUUGCUCAUUCUAGAUUCAUGGUAACCCAGCUAUCAGCAGAUAAAAUUUUCCCACUGAUAGGGCUCCCUGAAGACCUUUCCCAUAGCACCAUGUUUAUUUGCCUUGCAACUUCCAGAAAAAUAAACAAAAACCACUACGGGGCUGUUUAAAUGUGAGUCUUAGGGAACUGCUUUCUGAUCUCCUCAGUACAAUUGGGGAAUGUCAGCGCUACAUGAUGAUAAAUGUGCAGAGGCUGAGUUUCUCUUGUUUUAACAUGAAAACUGCUUUUUCUCUUGCAUGUAACCUGUAUCACAUAGUCCUCAGAGACAAGUGGAUGCUGUAGGAGCAACUUCCACAGCUAAACUCUGGAGUAUCUUACAACUUAAUACAGAAAAUACAUAUUUGCUGCAAUUUUAUUGUCUCAAUGGAGUUAUUUUGGCUUAGCUGAAUGCUACAGUAAAUUAUGUCUUGCAUAAUACCCCCUCUGCUUGUCUACUUGACAUCCAGAAACUUGAAGAGGUUAGUCACUGUCUAACGUCAUAGUUAAUUACUUCUUAAAAGACAAUUUUACCAGUUGGCACCUGGCUAACUGACCAUAUCUGCCCUCUCCUUGGAGGCAGUCUCCCUAGGACAGCUCUGAAGCUCAAGAUGGGGGAGCGUAUGCACCAUAUCUGUUAGAAAUAAAUAAUGACAUCUCCACAUGAGAAAUAAUCUGGUUUUCUUACGCUGAUUUAUGUAAGGGCAGUGACAGGAGGUUUGUAUCUGCCCCUUAUUUCAUCACUAAAUUCCUAUCAUAUACCCAUUCCUACUAAAAAUUGAAAAAAAGGGGGAAAGUGUAUUUUAGCAUCAUGAAACAUGUCCAUUCCUUGCAUAUUGUUUCAAAACAGAGUAACCAUUGUCCCUGUGACACAUUCAUUAUGCAGAGAAAAGGAGAGGAUUAUUUCAGUAUAGUCAGCCAGGCUACCAUGGUGAAAGUAAAAAGCUGCCUUUCCCGUAAUAUUUAAAAGUCCAAGAACGUUAUUGAAGCUGAAAAGGAAUGAAUUAGCUAGGUGUGGUCUAACUGAGCAGGAAAAAGAGGCAUGAACUUAAUGUAGACCAGUAAAUAUGAGACUCCCAGAUAAAAAAAGUGUUCUUUCAGAGGAAUGUAGGUGUCACCAUUCCUGGUUUCAACAGAAAUGCACAAGGGACUUCACAGCCAUGUAUGUAUUCUUUCAUUGACAGUACUGGCCUAAAUAUGUGUUACACACUGAGAUUAUUUUGCAUUCAUUGAAAGUUUCUGUGUUUUACCGUGAAGAAAUGUGCUGGAAGCCCAUGUGGAGCUCCUGCAAAAAAAUGUAUUAAAAAUCUGCCACCAAAUUAAAGUAAGGCCUGAGCUGAUCUGAUGUUUUGGUUCUAUGAAUCCCUACUGUCUCCUAAUCUGGUCCCUUUGCAUUAAAACCUGUUUGGUCUUCUUUGCAUUAGCAUCUAGGCCCUUCUAUAUGAAAUCAGUGUUGUUCCAAAAAGAAAACAAAAACAGAAUUAUGAAAUAUUGUCUGAAGAGCAACUACUAUUACUUGUGGAAAAAUGCAGAAAAAAAUAGCACUGCUUUUCUUUCCUAACUUCUGGGAGAAUGGUGCAGACUAUUAAGGCUGUAUAAUAUUUAGAUGGGGUGAGAAACAUUAAUUUACAUUUCUCUGAUAUAUAACUGAUACAGUGGCUAGCAAUAGGCACUCACAUAAGUGUGCUGGCAGGAAAUUAUCCACUAUACUCCUUUGUAUUCUAACAGGGGGACUAGGAUUAACUAUCCUGAAGUAGACCAAAUACUCUGAACGUAGAUUAUUCUGACUGAAGUUGAACCAAGGUCGUUCUGGGAUUUCAGUAUAGAGGAGGGUAUUUUGCUGUCUCUUAAGAGCAUAUAUUUUGUAUACUGUACCUAGCAACAGGAAUAUAAUAUCUUUCAUAAUAAAAAAUAACCUGUUUCCAUGGAGAAAAAAGUAGAGGUAGGGUGCUGACACAGAAGGACUCCUGUGCUAUCACAAACAGCUAGUAUAUUUUGCUUUGACUAUAUUCCUUUCCACCUUGCCAAUAAAGAGUUUAAAUUAACCUAGAAAAUGAAUCCCUGCUAUGAAGCAGACACACACAAAAGAUCAAGAAAAAUAAUGAACAUAAUAGUUCAAGUAUUUUUAACAGAAGAUUGUAUGCAGAGAGGCAUAAAAGGAAGCAAAGUGUGGCAUGUUGUGGUGAAGACAGUGUGGUAGUAACAAGAUGUAUCAGUGGGAAGAUGAAAGUUGUAACAAUUUAAAUUUUCAUGACCUCUCUUUGAUUUGUGUCAGAAAUACCAACAUAUUGUGACCUCUACAGCUUCCAAGGGCAGACACUUGUAUACAGCAUUUCCUCCAUUGUCCUUGGCAUAAGGCACUUCUCAUGAGCAAAGAUGUAAGCUUGUUCAACACAGCCAAAGACUGUGUAAAACAGUGAUAUCCCAGAGGAAGAGUGGGAUUCCAUACAUUGUGAAAAAUCAGAGCAUCUCCUUCACAAACAAAAGAACAUGAACCAUCCUGUGCAAGUAGGAGCUGAGACUUCCAGUUGUGGUUUGGGGUUUGUUUGUUUGUGUUUUUCCUAUCUAUGGGAUCAUAUGACCCAGAUCUGUAACUCCUGAAAGGUUCCCUUGAGGUGCAUCUAAGAAACAUUGUGGGAAAACACAGUUUUAGGUAAGUAUGAAUGCCUUUAUUGACUUGGAGGCUGGAUUAGCUUUGGUGGAAACUGAUGGCAGUGUACAAUACAUAGAAUGAAAUAAAAUUUCGGGAUGCAAACUGCCAUAAAAAGCAGUGGAAAUCUCAUGAAUCCUGCAAGAUCCAUGCACAAUCGCAAACCAUUCCCACUUGUCCAACCAUAUAUUUUGAGCGAUUUUGAGUCCUGUGCCAAUGCUAGUACAGUCUACAUAGUUCAAGACUAGAUCCUGAGCUGUCUUUCUAAUGUUUAAAAAUCUUUACAAAGGAACAUGUGGAAAGAUAAAAUCUAAGUAGUCUUUUAAUUGUUAAUAAGUAAACCACAUCGAUCCCUUUCUACUCUGUUUAAAAUCCCUUAUUCUGACUGAGAGUAUUCACUCAUUGGGAUUUAAGGUAACAUAACUAACUGACUUCAAAUUCCACCUUUAGCUGCUUCAGAUGAAUCUUUUUGCAUGAAAACAAGCCCUGAACUAUAACUGAUACAUGUGAGGUUGCCCUUUGACUCACUUGGCUGUUUGCCUGAAAGCCUGCGUGCUUUGGAUGAAAAGGUGUUAAAAUAAAUGAGUUAAAAAGAAUACCUGCCUAUAGUACGAAUAGGUAAGAUUUAUUCCUCAUGGUAUUACAGGUGCAAAUUUACCACACUGUACUGAUGGUUUUCAAAGUCAUUCUAAUACGCCGUGUCACUUAUUAUUUUUUAAAUAGAAUUUGCUUUUUAAAAUUAUUUUUACUGUCUAAAAGUAACGCACUUAACUAUCAGAAGAGAAUGUUUCCAGAAAGCAUACACUGCUGUUUAAUUAUUCUUUUGUAUCUCUAACACAUGAUUAUUUUACAUGCCCACUUCAUCCCCAAUAAGCUUACAGAGAAAUGGGAGGAUUCACUGAAAAGAGCAACAUCCUUCAGUGUUGCAUGAGAGACCGUGGUUGAACAGGGUGACCUGCUGUGACCUCUAAACUCAGCGGAAUGGGAACUCUUAAAAGGAUAUGUAACCAAAGCCUGAGCUGUAUUUAAUUAACAGUUCAUGAAGUCUGGAAACUUUUUGAAAUACAUUAAAAUUUAAUUAAUGCUUUGAAUGUUAAGGAUGUAUAUUUUAGUGAAAAAGAAUGAUAAUAAAGCGUCCAGUUUAAAAAACAAAUGAAUAGAAUUUACAUUGGUUUACUUAUAGCUUACACAUAUUAGAAGUAGCCACAUGGGCUUCAGAUUCAGUAUCUGCAACAUUUUAAGAGAUAUUGAAGUACAUUCAAAGACCUUGUGCCUUAAGAAACCAGGAAACUGAUUUUAAUAAUUCUUCUUCAUACCAUUCAUAGUUUUAAUAUGCUCUAACACACUGUAGAGUUCUUCUAUAGGACUCCCACAUAGUCACACAGGAAAAAGGUUCAGUCAUGCACAGCAAAAAAUCAGUCUGCUGUUUGGUGGCACAUGGAAUUAAACUUCUUAGUAGAACUGUACCUUAGGCAAUAUUUCUGAGGGAGCUUUUUGAUAUAAUGAAAACAAUAGUGAAAUUACAGAAUUAUUUCAAGUGCCAUUGUGUUUUCUUCCACCUAGUAAAUCAUUAAAUCAAGUGUGAAAUAUUUGUGACCUCACUAUUGAUAUCAAGAGACAGUUUGCUCUUGAUGUUCUCAGCAUCUCUGCCUUAACACUAAUAAAAAAGGAAAAGGUACACCUUGUGUAACAACUAGUUUUUGUAUCAUAAUUUUUUAUGGGAAUUGAAAUUAAGUGGUAAAAGUCAUUAUUAAAAUCACAUUUAAAAAAUCCAAUAUUUUAAAUUAAGUAUAUAUUCCUAUGAUCAGGGACAAAUUUUAGAAAAGAAGAAGAAAUAUCUGUGAAAUUAUUUGAAUCAGAAUUAAAUGCUUCAGUUCUUUGUUAGUUUAUUGUUUAAAUUUGAAGUACCAUUUUACAUGAAAAUAAUGCAUAAAAAGGGACUGAUUUUUUUUCCCCCCUAAGUGGAUCAAGAGACUGUAAUCUGUAACAUGUUUCUGGGUGCGACCUAAGCUCCAAGAGCAGGUUUGCUAUUCUUACCCAAGCCAAGAACUACAGGGCCUGAGCUGAGCUCUUUUAAAUAGCUUCCUUAGGUUUAGUAAACUUUUAAUCAGAUCCUCAGAUCAGAACAUUAUAACAGUCACCACCUGCUUUCUCAAAAGAAGAUACAUAUUAUAUGAAGAGAAUUUGGAUGUGCACUGUUUUCAGUGGAUCUCUGCAGUUUAUGAAAGCUCAAGAGUUCAAACUGCAAAUUCUAAGCUUGUUCCCAGGGUUCAGA